rnacentral:rRNA from 1 species
GACGAACGCUGGCGGCGUGCUUAACACAUGCAAGUCGAACGGAAAGGCCCUGCUUUUGUGGGGUGCUCGAGUGGCGAACGGGUGAGUAACACGUGAGUAACCUGCCCUUGACUUUGGGAUAACUUCAGGAAACUGGGGCUAAUACCGGAUAGGAGCUCCUGCUGCAUGGUGGGGGUUGGAAAGUUUCGGCGGUUGGGGAUGGACUCGCGGCUUAUCAGCUUGUUGGUGGGGUAGUGGCUUACCAAGGCUUUGACGGGUAGCCGGCCUGAGAGGGUGACCGGCCACAUUGGGACUGAGAUACGGCCCAGACUCCUACGGGAGGCAGCAGUGGGGAAUAUUGCACAAUGGGCGGAAGCCUGAUGCAGCAACGCCGCGUGCGGGAUGACGGCCUUCGGGUUGUAAACCGCUUUCGCCUGUGACGAAGCGUGAGUGACGGUAAUGGGUAAAGAAGCACCGGCUAACUACGUGCCAGCAGCCGCGGUGAUACGUAGGGUGCGAGCGUUGUCCGGAUUUAUUGGGCGUAAAGGGCUCGUAGGUGGUUGAUCGCGUCGGAAGUGUAAUCUUGGGGCUUAACCCUGAGCGUGCUUUCGAUACGGGUUGACUUGAGGAAGGUAGGGGAGAAUGGAAUUCCUGGUGGAGCGGUGGAAUGCGCAGAUAUCAGGAGGAACUCCAGUGGCGAAGGCGGUUCUCUGGGCCUUUCCUGACGCUGAGGAGCGAAAGCGUGGGGAGCGAACAGGCUUAGAUACCCUGGUAGUCCACGCUGUAAACGGUGGGUACUAGGUGUGGGGUCCAUUCCACGGGUUCCGUGCCGUAGCUAACGCUUUAAGUACCCCGCCUGGGGAGUACGGCCGCAAGGCUAAACCUCAAAGGAAUUGACGGGGCCCCGCACAAGCGGCGGAGCAUGCGGAUUAAUUCGAUGCAACGCGUAGAACCUUACCUGGGUUUGACAUGGAUCGGGAGUGCUCAGAGAUGGGUGUGCCUCUUUUGGGGUCGGUUCACAGGUGGUGCAUGGCUGUCGUCAGCUCGUGUCGUGAGAUGUUGGGUUAAGUCCCGCAACGAGCGCAACCCUUGUUCACUGUUGCCAGCACGUUAUGGUGGGGACUCAGUGGAGACCGCCGGGGUCAACUCGGAGGAAGGUGGGGAUGACGUCAAGUCAUCAUGCCCCUUAUGUCCAGGGCUUCACGCAUGCUACAAUGGCUGGUACAGAGAGUGGCGAGCCUGUGAGGGUGAGCGAAUCUCGGAAAGCCGGUCUCAGUUCGGAUUGGGGUCUGCAACUCGACCUCAUGAAGUCGGAGUCGCUAGUAAUCGCAGAUCAGCAACGCUGCGGUGAAUACGUUCCCGGG